GACGAACGCUGGCGGCGUGCUUAACACAUGCAAGUCGAACGGAAAGGCCCUGCUUUUGUGGGGUGCUCGAGUGGCGAACGGGUGAGUAACACGUGAGUAACCUGCCCUGGACUGUGGGAUAACUUCAGGAAACUGGGGCUAAUACCGGAUAGGAGCUCCUGCUGCAUGGUGGGGGUUGGAAAGUUUCGGCGGUUGGGGAUGGACUCGCGGCUUAUCAGCUUGUUGGUGGGGGAGUGGCUUACCAAGGCUUUGACGGGUAGCCGGACUGAGAGGGUGACCGGCCACAUUGGGACUGAGGUGCGGCACCGACUGCUAAGGGAGGCAGCAGUGGGGAAUAUUGCACCAUGGGCGGAAGCCUGAUGCAGCAACGCCGCGUGCGGGAUGACGGCCUUCGGGUUGUAAACCGCUUUCGCCUGUGACGAAGCGUGAGUGACGGUAAUGGGUAAAGAAGCACCGGCUAACUACGUG
rnacentral:rRNA from 1 species